rnacentral:rRNA from 1 species
CAGUAGCCACGGGAAUACGUAGGGUGCAAGCGUUAAUCGGAAUUACUGGGCGUAAAGCGUGCGCAGGCGGUUUGUUAAGGCAGAUGUGAAAUCCCCGGGCUCAACCUGGGAACUGCAUUUGUGACUGGCAAGCUAGAGUGUGGCAGAGGGGGGUGGAAUUCCGCGUGUAGCAGUGAAAUGCGUAGAUAUGCGGAGGAACACCGAUGGCGGAGGCAGCCCCCUGGGCCAACACUGACGCUCAUGCACGAAAGCGUGGGGAGCAAACAGGAUUAGAUACCCGUGUAGUCCCUGUCUCUUAUAC